UACGAAGGGGACUAGCGUUGUUCGGGAUCACUGGGCGUAAAGCGCACGUAGGCGGAUGUGUCAGUCAGGGGUGAAAUCCCGGGGCUCAACCUCGGAACUGCCUUUGAUACAGCACGUCUCGAGUCCGGAAGAGGUGGGUGGAAUUCCUAGUGUAGAGGUGAAAUUCGUAGAUAUUAGGAAGAACACCGGUGGCGAAGGCGGCGCUCUGGACCGAGACUGACGCUGAGGCGCGAAAGCGUGGGGAGCAAACAGG
rnacentral:rRNA from 1 species